rnacentral:rRNA from 1 species
GACGAACGCUGGCGGCGUGCCUAAUACAUGCAAGUAGAACGCUGAAGCGAGGAGCUUACUCUUCUUGGAUGAGUUGCGAACGGGUGAGUAACGCGUAGGUAACCUGCCUUGUAGCGGGGGAUAACUAUUGGAAACGAUAGCUAAUACCGCAUAACAAUGGAUGACACAUGUCAUUUAUUUGAAAGGGGCAAUUGCUCCACUACAAGAUGGACCUGCGUUGUAUUAGCUAGUAGGUGAGGUAAUGGCUCACCUAGGCGACGAUACAUAGCCGACCUGAGAGGGUGAUCGGCCACACUGGGACGGAGACACGGCCCAGACUCCUACGGGAGGCAGCAGUAGGGAAUCUUCGGCAAUGGGGGCAACCCUGACCGAGCAACGCCGCGUGAGUGAAGAAGGUUUUCGGAUCGUAAAGCUCUGUUGUAAGUCAAGAACGGGUGUGAGAGUGGAAAGUUCACACUGUGACGGUAGCUUACCAGAAAGGGACGGCUAACUACGUG